rnacentral:misc_RNA from 1 species
AGAGGGCUCUGCAAUGCUUGCUGAGAGGCUUGGUAAAGAUUUUCCUCUGGAUUCUAGCUCUGGGCUGUUUAGAUGUGCUGUUUGCCAAGCAGAUCAGCCUGCAAGUGAGGGUUUAUCUGUUAACUCAGGGCCUUUCUUUUCACCUUCAUCAAAGCCAUGGGAAGGGCCAUUCCUUUGUGCAACUUGUCGGAGGAAGAAGGAUGCGAUGGAAGGAAAAAGACCAAGUAGACCUAUAAUAACUGCUUAAUGUGGUAACCUUAGUAAGUAAGUAUAUGCUGAUAUAUUUUUUUGCCUGGCGUGGGAACAUGCUUGGUUCUCAAUCUGCAGUGGUUAUAUUUCUGUAGAUGUUUUGAGAAGAGUAAUGUUUGUGCUGAUUAUUGUACUUACUGACAAAGAAGAGCAUAUGAUUGUGUUGAUUUUAUUACUAACAGCUUGAAUGUAAGUAAAGGAAUGAUGCUUGUGAAAAUAUUGUUUAGUAAAAG